CAAUAUUGUGGCAAGAAGUCAGCAUGAUCCGGUUGCAAUCCUGAAACCUCAUAGAGUAUUCAAUUUACCUUUUUGCAUCAAUGUUCGUAAUGAAUAGAUUCUUGACAAUUUAUUAAUGUAUGGGCUCCACAGACUAUGCUGAAUGGGAAGUUAAUCAUGGCAAUGAAUAGUAAUCCAAGCUUGUGCUUCAUCUCUAAUUAGUGUCUUGUCAAUGGUCAUGAAAGCAUUUGAAACAGUACACUCCAUGCUAGAUGAAUUGUGCAUAUUCAGAACUCUGUGCAGUGAUCUGCCAGUAUUCAAGUAGAAGGUGGGUGUUUGGAAUGUUUUCUUUAAAACAAUGUGAACUAUUCAUAAA